rnacentral:rRNA from 1 species
UAGGGAAUCUUCGGCAAUGGACGAAAGUCUGACCGAGCAACGCCGCGUGAGUGAGGAAGGUUUUCGGAUCGUAAAACUCUGUUGGUAGAGAAGAACGUUGGUGAGAGUGGAAAGCUCAUCAAGUGACGGUAACUACCCAGAAAGGGACGGCUAACUACGUACCAG